rnacentral:lncRNA from 1 species
GAGCCUUUGCAGAUGCUAUCGCUAGCACUAUAGGGAUGUACUAUGCAAUCAAAGAGGGUAUGUGCAUCCAAAUUCCAAUUAAAAGUAGUGGUCAAGCUCGGGCCCUUUAUAGAGAAGGAAAUAAUAGGGAAAUAUAUGGGGACUACAUUAUAAGGAUUAAAUAGGGAAGAGAAACUUUAGAUUAAAAAAAAAGAUCCAAAAUAAUAAUAAUAAUCAACU